UUACAGAUAAGAAAAUCAUCAAGGCUCAGAGAGGUGAAGUCACUUGUCCAAGGUCAUCCAGCACAUGAGUUUAUUCACCCGUUGCCUGUCAAGGGAUUCCGGAAAGGCUUCCUGAAGGAGGUGACCUGUGAGCUGAGAUCUGAAGAGUGAUUUUCCCCAGUGUGUUUUAGUCAGGGGAGGGCAUGGGGCUUCUCAGAAGAGAGCAGGGAACUAAACAGGGGUCACUGUCAGCAAAGCCAGUGCCCGAGAGAUUUCUGCUGAGAACUGCUUCGUCAUCCUUAGCCAGAUGCGGUAAGAGGGCCAGGAGGGAGGGGGCCACCGUGCAACAGACUCCCUCCCAGUAAAGACGCUGUUGGUACAAGUCUCAAACUUGCAGCUUGAAUGUGGAAUCCAGGGUGCUGGGUUUGUUUGGACUGGAGAGGAGAGCAAAGUGUUUGAAAAUCUGGAGUUGAGUACCUUUAAGGAAUCUAAGUUCUUGAACCUUGUCUUUUGGUGGUAAUAACACAUCUACUUCUGGGAUGCAGACAUGGUCAUACGACUCAGAUUUAGCCAACCAAAAUGCCCUAUUUGCCUGGCCACCGUAAUUGAUUCAGGAAAGGCCACAGGAUCCAAGCCCUCUGGGAGUUUUGCUGGAAGCAUUGAGCUAUGCCAGGCCCUCCAGGAGUUGUUAAGCCAGUUGGCUGUGGGCCUGGGAAUAAAGCCAAUAUGGAGAGAAGCUGUCUGGAGAUACACCCAGAGAUACCACCUGGGCGCCUGGAUCCAGCUAUGCCUGAAGCUCAGAAACUCCUGGACUUGAAGUUUCACAAACCAAUAAAUUCGCCCGUUUGCAUAAAUUAGUGUGAGCUGAUCUUCUGUUACUUGUCUCAGAGAGAACCAAAGCUGCUUUACCUGGAGAAGAAUAAUUAGGAAUGUGAGAAUGAGAGCAGGGCCACUAUCUCCAAAGAGCCGAAGGGUUGCCCUGGCCUUGUAUACAGAUUGUGUGGUUCCAGUGGGCAGGAGGAUCUGGAGCAGGAUGUUGGCUCUAUGAGGAAGAACUUUCCCACAGUUAGAGCUGUUCAGAGAGGACCCCGCGCCACCUGGAGGGAGAGGGUAACUUCCUGUCUCUGGGGGUACGCAAACAGAAGCAGGAUGUGAUGAAAGGGACUGAGGCUGCCUAGAACAGCCAUCCUGUAAUUGACUAUGACUCCGUACCUCAGACCAGCUUCGGUGGAGAGCUGGAGAAUACCAUUUGCUCGCCAUUUUUCAUUGUAAAAUAUUUCAAAGGGCGCCUGAGUGACUCAGUCGGUUAAGCGUCCGACUUCGGCUCAGGUCGUGAUCUCGCGGUCUGUGGGUUCGAGCCCCGCGUCGGGCUCUGGGCUGACCGCUCGGGGCCUGGAGCCUCCUUCGGAUUCUGUGUCUCCCUCUCACUCUGCCCUUCCCCUGCUCGUGCUCUGUCUCCCUUUGUCUAUCAAACAUAAAUAAAGUAAUAACAAAAAUUUAAAAA